CUACGGGUUGCUCCAGUGGGGAAUCUUAGACAAUGGGCGCAAGCCUGAUCUAGCCAUGCCGCGUGAGCGAUGAAGGCCUUAGGGUUGUAAAGCUCUUUCAGCGAGGAAGAUAAUGACUGUACUCGCAGAAGAAGCCCCGGCUAACUCCGUGCCAGCAGCCGCGGUAAUACGGAGGGGGCUAGCGUUGUUCGGAAUUACUGGGCGUAAAGCGCACGUAGGCGGAUCAGAAAGUCAGGGGUGAAAUCCCAGGGCUCAACCUUGGAACUGCCUUUGAAACUCCUGAUCUUGAGUUCGAGAGAGGUGAGUGGAAUUCCGAGUGUAGAGGUGAAAUUCGUAGAUAUUCGGAGGAACACCAGUGGCGAAGGCGGCUCACUGGCUCGAUACUGACGCUGAGGUGCGAAAGCGUGGGGAGCAAACAGGAUUAGAUACCCCAGUAGUC
rnacentral:rRNA from 1 species